AUUUAUAUUAAAGCGCCAGGACCUUGAGAGAAGUUUUACUCAAGGUCGACGAGGAAGAGGGUUAUCGAACAAUUCGGCGGAUCCCUCUCGGUGGCUUGUCACCGUAAAGCUUGCUUAAAACCGGGGAGUAAUUCUCGGGACAAAGAGUAAGCUGACAAGACAA
rnacentral:ncRNA from 2 species